rnacentral:lncRNA from 1 species
AGGGGAAGGCUCCCGCACAUCUCAUGAGCUUGACUUCAUUUGCUGGUUUUGUUUUUCGGUACGGCGACAAGCACACGGAGCUGCACGCCGUGGCAGCGAGGGGCUGUUCCCUGCUCCCCUAAUAACUAUGCUUCAACAUCGGAGGCUUAAAACGCUAUCAGAAGAUCACAAGUCCGGUUUAGGUCACCGCUUUCCUUUGCCACUGCAGGGAGAGGGGCGCAAGGCCUUAUAUUCCCUGUGCGUUUUCUCUUGUCUCCACUUCUCCACUUGGGGGCUGAUGCGGACGGACCUGAGUAGGAGAGCUGCUGUGACGUGUCGCCCUUGUAGACAGAAACGCAGACCACUGAGGUGA